UUGAAGUCCUUGUAUCUGAGGCAGAGGAAGAUGAUGUUGAAGGGGAUUCCUGACGAGAUUACCCGCCUUCUUGAGCACAAAAGAAGCUCAUUCAGCUGUAUCACGAGAAUCAGCAAAACAGUCAAACUGGGGCAUUGCAAAUGCAAUCAAAAAAAAAAAAAAAAAAAAAAAACAAAAAAAAAAAAAAAAAAAAAAAAAAAAAAAGAAAAAAGAAAAAAUGAGAGGGUGAAAAAGAUGGAAAAAAUCAAAAAUCAGCAAAAAAAAUUUUCAAAAAUCUUUUCAAAGG
rnacentral:lncRNA from 1 species